CCUACGGGAGGCAGCAGUGGGGAAUAUUGGUCAAUGGACGCAAGUCUGAACCAGCCAUGCCGCGUGCAGGAAGACGGUCCUAUGGAUUGUAAACCUCUUUUGCCGGGGAGCAAAAAGCGGUACGUGUACCGCAUCGAGAGUACCCGGAGAAAAAGCAUCGGCUAACUCCGUGCCAGCAGCCGCGGUAAUACGGAGGAUGCGAGCGUUAUCCGGAUUUAUUGGGUUUAAAGGGUGCGCAGGCGGCAAGUUAAGUCAGCGGUAAAAUUUCGGGGCUCAACCCCGCCGAGCCGUUGAAACUGGCUUGCUAGAGUGGGCGAGAAGUAUGCGGAAUGCGUGGUGUAGCGGUGAAAUGCAUAGAUAUCACGCAGAACUCCGAUUGCGAAGGCAGCAUACCGGCGCCCAACUGACGCUCAGGCACGAAAGCGUGGGUAUCGAACAGGAUUAGAUACCCGGGUAGUC
rnacentral:rRNA from 1 species